UAUCUGUGCUAGCCCAGCCCAUCAUGUGAGUGAAUGUCUCACGACUGUAUAGUUUUCACCCUUCAUCUAAGAACAAGUUUAAGCUAUCUAAAGUUACUCCAAGCCUGUCAAUGAUCCAUUCUUAAACAUAUAUAAUAUAGGUUGGAGGAAUCACUAAUUUUUUUUGGAGACCCCAAUGGACUCAGGCUCAAACUCAAAUUCCUCCUGUACAGAACUUUCAGAAUAGGCCCCA
rnacentral:lncRNA from 1 species